rnacentral:rRNA from 1 species
UACGAAGGGGGCUAGCGUUGCUCGGAAUCACUGGGCGUAAAGGGCGCGUAGGCGGCCAUUCAAGUCGGAGGUGAAAGCCCAGGGCUCAACCCUGGAAUUGCCUUCGAUACUGUUUGGCUAGAGACCGGAAGAGGUAAGUGGAACUGCGAGUGUAGAGGUGAAAUUCGUAGAUAUUCGCAAGAACACCAGUGGCGAAGGCGGCUUACUGGUCCGGUUCUGACGCUGAGGCGCGAAAGCGUGGGGAGCAAACGGG